UACGUAGGGUGCAAGCGUUAAUCGGAAUUACUGGGCGUAAAGCGUGCGCAGGCGGUUUUGUAAGUCUGACGUGAAAUCCCCGGGCUUAACCUGGGAAUUGCGUUGGAGACUGCAAGGCUGGAGUCUGGCAGAGGGGGGUAGAAUUCCACGUGUGAGCAGUGAAAUGCGUAGAGAUGUGGAGGAACACCGAUGGCGAAGGCAGCCCCCUGGGUCAAGACUGACGCUCAUGCACGAAAGCGUGGGGAGCAAACAGG
rnacentral:rRNA from 1 species